rnacentral:rRNA from 1 species
GAUGAACGCUGACAGAAUGCUUAACACAUGCAAGUCGAUGGGGAAGUGGUGCUUGCACCCUGGUAACCAUGGCGGACGGGUGAGUAACGCGUAAGGAACUUGCCUGCGGGACUGGGAUAACAGCAGGAAACUGCUGAUAAUACCGGAUAAGGUCAUUAAGCUGCAUAGCUUAGUGAUGAAAGGAGACGCCUGCGGAGAGCCUUGCGUCCUAUUAGCUAGUUGGAGGGGUAACGGCCCACCAAGGCGAAGAUAGGUAGCCGGCCUGAGAGGGUGGACGGCCACAAGGGGACUGAGAUACGGCCCUUACUCCUACGGGAGGCAGCAGUGGGGAAUAUUGGACAAUGGGGGCGACCCUGAUCCAGCAAUUCUGUGUGCACGAAGACGGUUUUCGGAUUGUAAAGUGAUUUCAGCAGGGAAGAAGGAAGUGACGGUACCUGCAGAAGAAGCGACGGCUAAAUACGUG